rnacentral:rRNA from 1 species
GAUGAACGCUGGCGGCGUGCCUAAUACAUGCAAGUCGAGCGAACAGAUGAGGAGCUUGCUCCUCUGACGUUAGCGGCGGACGGGUGAGUAACACGUGGAUAACCUACCUAUAAGACUGGGAUAACUUCGGGAAACCGGAGCUAAUACCGGAUAAUAUAUUGAACCGCAUGGUUCAAUAGUGAAAGACGGUUUUGCUGUCACUUAUAGAUGGAUCCGCGCCGCAUUAGCUAGUUGGUAAGGUAACGGCUUACCAAGGCAACGAUGCGUAGCCGACCUGAGAGGGUGAUCGGCCACACUGGAACUGAGACACGGUCCAGACUCCUACGGGAGGCAGCAGUAGGGAAUCUUCCGCAAUGGGCGAAAGCCUGACGGAGCAACGCCGCGUGGGUGAUGAGGGUCUUCGGAUCGUAAAACUCUGUUAUUAGGGAGGAACAAAUGUGUAAGUAACUAUGCACGUCUUGACGGUACCUAAUCAGAAAGCCACGGCUAACUACGUG